CCCCCUCCCCGCCUGCCCCCCGCCUCGCUGAGCUGCACCACUAUCAGCAUCUUUCAGCGUGACAUUUUGGUCAGGCCUCCGUAGCUCCAAGAGUAACAUUGGCUUUGAAUCCAAGGGCCGGCAGGUGGGCCUCAGGCUGGGGGUGGGAUUAGUUACCCCUUUUAGAUCCCUGGCUGGGUUCAACCCGCUCGGCCUUGCGGUGGGGGGCCUUUCCUCGCUACGGGGAAGGGGCAGGCCCAGAGUCCCCCGGCCUGGAAGCGCGGCUAACUCUGGGCUCUGGGCCGCCCCUAACCUUCUGUGUCCUGGGCAGAGGGUGAAGGUUUACAAACACGAGGAAGCCUUUGAUCAGCACCAAAUCCCCAGGGUUCUGAAUGUUUUUUGUUCUAAGCUGCAGGCCGGGGCCACACUGUGCUUUGCUUCCAGCAGGGAAGACUGUGGGCACCACUGUAGAAACCGCGGCCGGAGCCGGGCACAAACACGGCCCCCUGCCCACGGAGAGAGCAGGAUGCAAACGAGCAGGUGAAUCUGAAGGAUAGCAGUAGCUUCUUUGGGACCCAGCACAGAGCCAGACAGAGCCGGGGUGUGGAAUAAAUACCCAGUGAAUGAAGGCGUGAAGAAGGGAGAGAGCGCAUGACACAAUUCGGGCAGGAGGGAACCAGACAUCCCACGUCUUUGCUGACUGUAGCCUGGGUGAUUUGCACGGUGCCUGCCGCACGCACGGGGAUGCUUCGGUGUUGGGCGGAUGAGUGAGCCAAGUUCGAGGUAGGGAGAUAGGACGAAAAGGGGAAGAAGAAGAGAAAGGAGGCAGAGAGAGGGAAGGGAGAGAGAAAAGGAAGUGGAGGAGGAGAAUGGAAGGGGAAGGAAGCGCCCCUGCAUGGAUAACGACGGUAACUUGGCGACCUCUGCUGGCCAGGACGGCCACUCGUCUGGGCUCAGGAAAGGGGAAUUGGGUCCUUUGGAGUUGUGGCACUCUGAAUUCAGGACUCAGGGAGGAGAUUCCCGGGGCCCUGUCAGCUGGGCUCCCACAGCCAGGGGUUCCAGCGGUCAGUGGCAGCCGGGUGAGGACCAGGAUGAGGUGAGCGAGCCUCUUACCAGGGCACUAAUUCGAGGCGGCACCUAAAAACCCAGUAAUCAAGACAAACAUUUUAAUGCAGUAUCUUAAAAAAUCAACUUGGCAAACGAUGGCCCACGAGCUGCCCGCCUGGUUUUGUAAACAAACUGGAUUGGAACCGGGAUCAGGAUUCGGGUUUCCUUUCUCGGUCACAGCUGAGAUUACGUGUGCAUCCCUUCACUAGUGCAGGUGUGCCCGGGUCCCCUCGGCCGGCACAUGCUGCGAGCGUGGUCAGCUCCCCUGAAGAGAACACUGAAGAAGCAUUCACUAUGCCCAACGUGGGUGGCUCCAUGCUGUGGCCCGCAGUCACAAGAGG